rnacentral:tRNA from 1 species
UCCGCCUGAGCGCCGCUAGGGUGCGCCCUGCGCGCUUGGGCCGCGCGGGCGGCCGGCGCUCAGCCGCCGCCAGCGGAUC